AGCAUGAAGUAUUCUUAAGUCAGCGGUUCUGAAGAAGCCUUGCUGUUAUGAAGAGGAGAUUUCUUCCUGUCAGCUGUAGCAGAACAAAGUGAUAGAUACUGAAAAGAAACCACAGAUAGCAAAGAUUUCCUGGAGAGAACUGCUGUGGGAAUUCGUUUUAGUCUUCUGCUACUUGAUACAAUUCUCUCCCCUGGGGGUUCUGGAGAUUAAACUCAGGUCCUCAUGCUUGCGAGGUAAGCGCUUUACCAAGUCAUCCGUCUUCCCCAGUCCUUGGAUCUGGUGCCUAAUGCAUUUCCCAGCCUUGCUGCAGAUCUGGAAGGUUUUGCUGCAGGCAGAAGAGGAAGGUGCUUCUUCCACAAGAGCCUUGACAGCCUACACGUAUCUCAUGCUGCAUCAGAGAGUUUGUGGACACAGAGAAUUCAGUGGAAGGACUUUAUGACUCUAGAGGAUGUGCAGCCACUAGAUGGAAGGAACCCAGGUCCCUGAGCUACAGAUCCUCGUCACCCCAGGAUUACUAGUUAUCCAUCAUUCUUCAUUAUAGUGCCACCACAUCGAGAAGUAAAUCGUUAUUGGUAAUUACCAGGACUCUGUUUAUUACAGCGUUAAAUGCAUUCUGCUAAUAAAACUACUAACUUGACAGCACAAA